rnacentral:lncRNA from 1 species
UUUGAUCCAGAAAUUGAACGCACUCUUAGAAGACUUAGAAAGCAAGCCGCAGAAGCUUCAUCUGAAGCAACAGAAUUUUGCCAACAAGCCGCACCAAUGGCUGAACCUAAUCCACAACUUGUUGCCAAUAAUGGACAUGACCAAAUAAUUCAAGAAAAUCCAGCAGUUAGGCCCCAAGAACAAAGAGAAAGAACCACGAGGGAGUUAGCAACACCCAUAGGUGAUCAUGCAUCACUUUGCAUCACCUAUUCGCCUUUGACAGUUCCCUUUGAACUGAAAUCAGGUUUGAUUCAUCAUCUCCCUAAAUUUAGAGGUUUGCAAAAUGAAAAUCCACACAAACACUUGAAAGAAUUCAACAUUGUCUGUUCAUCUAUGACACCUCAAGGUGUUUCUGAAGAUCAUGUUAAGUUAAGAGCUUUCCCUUUUUCCUUAAAUGAUUUUGCUAAAGAUUGGUUAUUUUAUUUGCCACAUGGAUCUAUAACUUCAUGAGGUGAUAUGGUCCAAACCUUUUGGGACAAAUAUUUCCCACCAUCUAAAUCAAUUGGCAUAAUAAGAGAAAUCACUAGCAUAAGACAAAAACCAACUGAAGACUUAUAUGAUUAUUGGGAAAGGUUUGAAAGACUAUGUACAGGUUGUCCACAACAUGAUAUGUCAGACAGGGCACUCAUACAAUUCUUCUAUGGAGGAUUAACUCCUUCGAAAAGGAAAUUCAUUAACGUAGCCUGUGGAGGAUCCAUUGCAGACAAGACACCUAGGGAGAUGAAGGAACUAAUAUCCACUCUUGCAGCUUCAUCUAAGCAAUAUGAAGAAGAGGGGCAAACGCAAAGAGGAAUCUAUGAGGUAAGUACAUCCUCUGUUGAAUCUCAAAUUUCAAAACUAACUUCUCUUGUGGAAAAGAUCGCCCUUGGCCAAGUCCAACAAAUGCAAGCAAUUCCACCACCUAGGCCAUGUGAGAUCUGUGCUUAUGUAGGACACCCAACUGAUCAAUGUCCCACACUCCAAGAAGAUCAUCACCAAGUCAAUGCUAUUGGAGGGUACCACAACCAGCCUAGACAUGAUCCAUACUCCAAUACAUACAAUCCAGGUUGGAGAGACCAUCCCAAUUUCAGCUAUGGAAGGGCCAACAAUAGUCAGAAUUACCAAAAUCUCCAAAGAAAUCAAGCAAAACCAGCACCUUCAAAUCCAAAUCAGCACCUUGAAAAGAUGAUGGAAUCCAUGGCAAGCGCUAUACAAAGUCUCAAUCAGCGCAUGGAUCUACUGACCACAUCAAGAGGCAAUUCUGAAACUCAAGGUAAGCUCCCUUCUCAAACUGAAACUAAUCCCAGACAAAAUGUCAGUGCCAUUACUUUGAGAAGUGGAAAAGAGCUUCAAGAGGCCAAGAUUGAUGAAAGAACACCUCCUACACAAUCUGAAAGGGAGAUCUAUGCGCAAGAACCAACUGCAGAAGAGCACAUUGCGCAAAGACCCAUCCCGGAAGCCACUCCUGCGCAAACUGAAGUCCCCCCUGCGCAAAGAGCUGAUCCGAAAGUAAGUUUCCACAUUCCACCUCCUUUUCCCAAGAGAUUUGAAAGAACACAAAAAGAAAAAGAAGAAAAGGAGAUUCUUGACACUUUCAGAAAAGUGCAAAUCAAUAUACCUCUGCUAGAUGCUGUUAAGCAGAUUCCCAGGUACGCUAAAUUUCUGAAAGAACUUUGCACUAAUAGAAGGAAGCUUGCAGAAAGAGAAAAAGUAAGUGUAGGUGAGGUAGUGACUGCUGUUAUUAAAAGAGAACUCCCUACUAAAUGCAAGGACAAAGGUAUGUUUGCUAUCUCUUGCAAGAUUGGGAAUGUUGGUAUAAAGAAAGCCAUGUGUGAUCUUGGUGCAUCCAUUAAUAUCAUGCCUCUCUCCAUCUAUAAAUCUCUCAAUGCAUGUGCACUCAAAGAAACAAGAGUUGUGAUUCAACUAGCUGAUAGAUCUGUGGUAUAUCCCAUAGGUGUUCUAGAAGAUGUGUUAGUCCAAGUAAAUGAACUUGUCUUUCCUGCUGAUUUUUAUGUGAUUGAUACUAAGGAAGAUAAUUGCAAUGCUAGUUCUGAUAUACUUCUUGGACGUCCUUUCUUGAGUACUGCUAGGACUAAGAUUGAUGUGCAUGAUGGUACUCUCACUAUGGAAUUUGAAGGGGAAGUGAUUAAAUAUAAUGUCUAUGAUUCCAUGAAAUAUCCACAUGAUAUAUCCCCUGUUUAUGGUCUUGAUAUUGUUGACUGCUUAAGCUAGGAAAUUUUUAAUGAAAAUCAAGAUGAUAUUCUUAACAGUAAUUUCUGCAGAGAUACUGAUCAGGUACAGAUUGAGAGCCAGAAAGAGCCAAAACUUAAGGAAACAGUUUGUAGCAUCCAACAGAUAGUUUGCAGUCAAGCGCAGAUUGGAGAAAACUCAGUUGCACCACUUCAGAAUGGUGUGCAGACCCUUCUUGCGCAAAAAAGAGGCACUUGAAAGCCUCUUAGGCGCAUCCUUACAGCCUCCCGCGCAAAGCAGCUUCCAUCCGCCUCCCUUUCAGUCCACUCCUGCACAAGGAAAGGCACCUGAAAGCCUUUCAAGCACAUCAACUCAGUCCCAAUCUCAAAUCUCGCCCACUCUUUACCCAACGCAGACAAGCCACGCGCGAAUGGAAAAAGGUGAGCCUAGUUCAGUCAGCAAUCCAUCUAAGAAAAUCUCAGAAUCAGAUCUGAAGCCUCUUCCAGGCCAUCUGAAAUACAUGUACUUGGGAGCUGACAAGACACUUCCAGUAAUAGUGUCCAAUGAACUGAACCAACAUGAAGAAGCAAGCCUCCUGAAAGUACUACAGAAACACAAAGGAGCCAUAGGAUGGACCAUUGAUGACAUAAAAGGUAUUUCUCCUUCCACAUGCAUGCAUAGAAUUCACAUGGAAGAUGAAUGCAAGCCAGUUCGAGAUGCUCAAAGAAGACUGAACCCACCUAUGAUGGAGGUAGUAAAGAAAGAAAUAGUCAAGCUCCUUGAUGCAGGAAUCAUUUACCCAAUCUCUGAUAGCCAAUGGGUGAGUCCUGUGCAUGUAGUCCCAAAGAAAACUGGGAUCACCAUUGUUCCAAAUGCUAAAGGAGAACUUGUUCCCACUAGAGUUCAAAAUGGAUCGAGGGUGUGCAUGGACUAUAGAAAGCUCAACGCUGCAACAAGAAAAGACCACUUCCCACUGCCUUUCAUUGAUCAGAUGCUAGAAAGGCUUGCAGGUAAGUCUCACUAUUGUUAUCUUGAUGGUUAUUUAGGUUUUUAUCAGAUUCUAGUUGCUCCUGAGGACCAAGAGAAGACCACCUUCACUUGUCCUUUUGGCACUUUUGCCUUUAGAAGAAUGCCAUUUGGACUAUGCAAUGCACCUGCCACCUUUCAGCGGUGCAUGAUGAGCAUAUUUUCUGACUAUGUGGGUAAGACAAUUGAAGUAUUCAUGGAUGAUUUCACUGUGCAUGGCAACUCUUUUGAGGAAUGCCUUGCCAACUUGGAAAAGAUCUUACAAAGAUGCAUUGAGACUAACCUUGUGCUUAAUUAUGAAAAAUGCCAUUUUAUGGUUAAUCAAGGUAUGGUCUUAGGUCAUGUUGUUUCAGCUAAAGGCAUUGAAGUGGACAAAGCAAAGGUGGAUACCAUCAAAAAUCUGCCUUAUCCCACAACUGUUAAAGACAUCCGAUCAUUCCUUGGCCAUGCAGGAUUCUAUCGAAGAUUCAUCAAAGAUUUCUCGAAAAUCACUUUGCCAUUAUGCAGAUUGCUCCAACAGGAUGUAACCUUUGAUUUUGAUGCAGACUGCAAAAAGGCAUUUGACUUGAUUAAAGAAUUGCUUGUGACUGCCCCAAUUAUUCAAGGACCUGAUUGGAACCUGCCUUUUGAAAUCAUGUGUGAUGCAAGCAACUAUGCAGUAGGAGCAGUUUUGGGGCAACGUGUGGGAAACUCACCCCACGCCAUUCACUAUGCCUCUCGCACACUAGAUGCUGCACAAAACAACUACACAACAACUGAAAAAGAACUCUUGGCAGUUGUAUUUGCUUUAGAAAAAUUCAGACCCUACCUCUUGGGCACCAAAGUCAUUGUCUAUUCUGACCAUGCAGCUUUGCGAUACUUGAUAAAGAAAAAGGAAGCCAAGCCAAGACUAAUUAGGUGGAUUCUUCUCCUCCAAGAAUUUGAUCUGGAAAUAAGAGACAAAAAAGGCAAAGAAAAUCUUGUAGCUGACCACCUCAGCCGGCUUCCAUCCAAUUCUGCACCUUGUCCAGUUGAAGAGGCUUUCCCAGACGAACAUCUGUUCGUCACUCUUUCUGCCUAGAUGAUCAUGCCAUGCACACCACACCCCAGGGGAGUACUCAGUUUCAUUUGUUCUCUUCUUCUCUCUUCUUUUACAUUGAGGACAAUGCAUGAUUUAAGUGUGGGGGUGCAUAUCUCUUCUUCUCCUUCUCUUCUUCUUUCUAAAAUUAAAAAAAAUAAUAAAAAAAAAUAAAUAAAUAAAUAAAUUUUCCUUUCAGUUAUGCGAUUUAUGCUUUCUUUUAGUUUAUUUUUGCCUUCAAUAAUACACACACAACCACAACCUUCUUUUUGUUUUGCUCUACUCAAACUGAUGAACUAUGUUAGAUGAGUUUUUCUCUCCAUGACCCCAUUGAUGUUAGAACUCUUUAAACUUAUGUUGAAUCAAUUGCAGUGAGUUACAUUCAUGUUUGAGAAUUGCCUUUUGAAUUGAAUCUUUGAGUUUGCCAUGGUGAAAAAUAUAUUGAUGACCCUCAAUUGAUGAGAAUAAAUUGAAAGUUGUGUGAAUGGACUUAAUGUGACUUGAUUUAGCAAUUGGUGUUGAUUUGCCCAAAUCAUUGAGAGAAAGAAAAUUCAGCAAAGGCAAAGACCUCAAAAGCACAAAUCCAAGAUUGUUCCAAUGGUCAAAAGACUAUGAACAGAGCUACUAGCCACUUGGAAAGGUGACCAACUGAGUAACUGGGGGUGGGUAUCACAAAUAUGUACUUUCACGUCAAAAGGUUGGUGACCUCUCCAAGCAAGAUCUAAAAGUGCAAAAAGCCUGAAUAUAGUACUUCAAGCGAGGGCAAGUCACUCCAAGGGCUAGAAAAAGUCUUAACAAAUAAUGUGCAUGUAUGGUCUCUCUUGAGGAAAAUAAAUCCUAGCCAUGGUAAGCAAAGGGAAACGAGAAAAGGAGGUGAGUAAUCUUCAUGCAUAUAUUCUUCACUGCAAUAAUUCAAAAUAGGGGUCUAGAGUAAGAGCUCAAGUGGAAAUAAGGAUCUAGAGUGAGAAAGCUUGUUUCACUAAGUUUAUUUGCUUGAGGACAAGCAAAAGGCUAAGUGUGGGGGUAUUUGAUAGAGCAUAAUUUAGUCCAUUUUAUAUUAAUAUUAUUGAUGAAUAUUUACAUGAUUUUUGCUUAAUGUAGUGCUUUUAAUAUUAUUUUGCAGAAAAUGAUGUAAAAGGACAUUUUGGAGAAAAUCCCCCUAAAACUGCCUUAUUUGGAGCAAAAGAGAGCAAAGCCGCCAAGUUGAAUUCAAGACGGGCUAAAUGAGGAAAAUAUUUUGAGAUUUAAGUAACUUAGCACUUUGGCCCGCAAUUGGACGGCCCAUGCCUGCGUCUCAAACCCAGCCCGCUCGUGCACAUGACCAGCACUUCCAAGCUCCUCACGUGGGCCCGCGCCGUCUCCAAACUGCCCAAGCACCAAACACAUGCACAUGGGCCCCGCCAAAUCCACUCCACCAUUUCACUUCACGUGGAACAUGGCCCGCUUCAUCAUUCUCUCACGCAAACCAAACUCUUCACAUGGACCGCGCCUCAGCCCAAG